ACAGGAUUUAGAAAUUCUGAAGGACGAAAAAAAAAAAAAAAAACCAAGUGUAGUAUCUGUUCUUAUCAGUUUAAUAUCUGAUAUGUGGGCCAUCGGCCCACUCGAUAUUAAUCUAAUUUUUAUGGGGAAAGGUCCAUCACAAUAGCUUGCUAUUGGGGCCUUUGAGCGUCGCCUUGGUGUUGCACUACUGUCUUGGCCUGGCGCACCCCUC
rnacentral:snRNA from 1 species